rnacentral:misc_RNA from 1 species
AAGAGUUCUAGAAAACUCCCAAACCCAUGUGAACAUACCUUGCGUUGCCUCGGCAGGCGGCGUCCUACCCCGGAGUAUCCGUACCCCGGUGGCGGGCGACCCUGCCGAAGGCCCCGAAAACUCUGUUUCUAUAGUAUCAUUUCUGAACAUUAUAACUAAAUAAGUUA